rnacentral:rRNA from 1 species
ACACGGGGGGCGCAAGCGUUAUUCGGAAUUAUUGGGCGUAAAGGGCGCGUAGGCGGUCUUGUCGGUCAGAUGUGAAAGCCCAGGGCUCAACCCUGGACGUGCAUUUGAAACAGCAAGACUUGAGUACGGGAGAGGAAAGCGGAAUUCCUGGUGUAGAGGUGAAAUUCGUAGAUAUCAGGAGGAACACCGAUGGCGAAGGCAGCUUUCUGGACCGAUACUGACGCUGAGGCGCGAAGGCGUGGGUAGCGAACAGGAUUAGAAACCCCAGUAGUCC